UACGAAGGGUGCAAGCGUUAAUCGGAAUUACUGGGCGUAAAGCGUGCGUAGGCGGUUGCUUAAGUCUGUUGUGAAAUCCCCGGGCUCAACCUGGGAAUGGCAAUGGAUACUGGGCAGCUAGAGUGUGUCAGAGGAUGGUGGAAUUCCCGGUGUAGCGGUGAAAUGCGUAGAGAUCGGGAAGAACAUCGGUGGCGAAGGCGCUCUACUGGACCACAACUGACACUCAGGGACGAAAGCUAGGGGAGCGAAUGGG
rnacentral:rRNA from 1 species